rnacentral:lncRNA from 1 species
UUCUCAUAGAAGGAAGGACCUAAUAAACCCUGAGUGAAUGAAUGAAUGAAUGAAUGGGCCCCACAGCAAACAGCCCAAUAUCAAGCACACAAUUGACCUCAAGUAAACAGAUAUUGUUUGAGGUUAUUAUGUUCCCAGGAACAUAUACUGAAAUGCUGAAGCCACACUAACAUUAAGUGGGUAAAACAUCACAUGAGUUGUUAACAACAAUAACAUCUCCCGUGCGAGUCGUCUGAUCUCCCCAGCCCUUGGGUCUCUCCUCACUGCCGCCAGACUUUGGGCACCUCCUGGAUCGCUCAACUCGGGUCCUGGGAGCACAUUUGUGAGGCCUCAAAGCUGAAAGCUACUAGACUUUCUGCUCAGGAGCUCUCAGCCCAGUGCCAGCCACAUCCCUGGACCAGGCCACGGCCAAGCAAGACUUCAGCCUCCAGUGCGAGACAGCCCCGCGCCGCGGGGGCGCACAAGCCGCGGCGCCCGGGCUGGCAGCCUCCCUCCGCCGCUUCCCUGUCGGCGCCCCCGGGCCCGCGUCCGCGCCCCCCGCCACCUCCGUGCCGGCCCCUCCGCCUGCGCCCUCGCUCCCCGCUCCACCCGGGAUCUGAGCCCGGUCCCGUCUCCUCAGCGCUCCAUCCCCGGGUCUCUCCCUCUGACCUCCUGGGCCAGCGUCCUCAAAGUGUGGCCCCGGGACCGGCAGCAGCAGCAGCAUCCCCCGGAACUUGUUAGAAAUGCUGACUCGGGCCAGCCCAGACCUACUGAGUGAGAAUCUCCGGACCCAGCCAGCUGCCUGGCCCAGGCCCUCGGGAGAUGGUCGCGCUAGCCCAAGUUUGAGAACCGCUGCUCUGGAGCGCGGACACCGCCUGUCCGACUCCGUCUGGGAGGGUAGACUGAGCUCCCUGAGGACACCGCUCCUGUCUCUGUUCCCUCAGUUAGCGGCUGUGCUGCGCAGCCCUUCACCUCUGCUGAUUGCUGACUGGUGAGGGAGGGAGAACGGUUCCUGCGGGCAGCCCUGCGAGCUUUAAUACAAAUUGUCUUUCCUGGAUCAUCACCAGAAGUGACUUAGAGAUUGACACAAAUUUCCUCAAAGAAUUGAUCCACUUAGCAUCUCUUUAGAUUAAAUCCCAAAUUGUUUACAACGGAGCUGGAAAAGCACUGACUCCGCUGUGAUGGCCUCGCGCACCUGGCCUGGCUCCCACAUCCAGCCUUCUGCCGGAGACCAUGCGCCCUUGCUUUGUGGAUGUCACUUACCGGCUGUAGGAAAAUCUAUCCAAGAAGGUUUGGGAUACAUUUGAAGAUAGCGAUCUAAAGGUUAUUCCCGUUUCAUAAGAAGAGAAUACUUCUCUGUUCCAGAAAAAUGUGGAAAAGUGAAAAAGAUGUGGACAUAUUUUGUCUUUUCCCCCAGAAUAUUCUUUGGUUUUUUUUACAUCAUGUUUUCAGUAAAAUUUAAAACACGCGUAACUCUGUAAUGUGUCCCACAGUCCCUGAGGCCCAAGUCUCGGCGUUAACCUGGUGACGGCGAAGGUCAGCCCAGCGGCUGUGGCUUAGCGGAAUGUCUCCAACUGGAAGUCCAUUUUACCACCAGCAACCUAUGAAGAAACUGAGGCUCAGGAGCACACACUGGC